GAGAGAGAGCAUGAGGGAGUGAAUGAGAGAGUACAUGACAGAGCUAAUGUAAGAACAAAUGUGAGAGCGAAUGAGAGAGCAUGAGAAGAGCAUGUGAAGAGUGAGUGGAGAGAGAAUGUGAUAGUGAAUGAGGGAGCAAAUGAGAGAGAGAUUCUGAGAACAAAUGUGAGCGCCAGGGAGAGAGCAUGUGAGAAUGAGUGAGGAGAGAACGUGAGGUGUGUGUGAAGACUGUGUGUGUGCGUGACAGGAGAGUGCAUGUGGUAUGUGUGAGAUAUGUAUGAGGUGUGUGUGAAGAGUGUGUGUGUGAGUGAAAGGAGAGUGCAUGUGGUGUGUGUGAGAUAUGUAUGAGGUGUGUAUGAAGAUUGUGUGUGUGUGUGACAGGAGAGUGCAUGUGGUGUGUGUGAGAUAUGUGUGAGGUGUGUGUGAAGACUGUGUGCGUGUGUGACAGGAGACUGCAUGUGGUGUGUGUGAGAUAUGUAUGAGGUGUGUAUGAAGACUGUGUGUGUGCGUGACAGGAGAGUGCAUGUGGUGUGUGUGAGAUAUGUAUGAGGUGUGUAUGAAGACUGUGUGUGUGCGUGACAGGAGAGUGCAUGUGGUGUGUGUGAGAUAUGUAUGAGGUGUGUAUGAAGAUUGUGUGUGCGUGACAGGAGAGUGCAUGUGGUGUGUGUGAGAUAUGUGUGAGGUGUGUAUGAAGAUUGUGUGUGUGUGACAGGAGAGUGCAUGUGGUGUGUGUGAGAUAUGUGUGAGGUGUGUGUGAAGACUGUGUGUGUGCGUGACAGGAGAGUGCAUGUGGUGUGUGUGAGAUAUGUGUGAGGUGUGUGUGAAGACUGUGUGUGUGCGUGACAGGAGAGUGCAUGUGGUGUGUGUGAGAUAUGUAUGAGGUGUGUAUGAAGAGUGUGUGUGAGAAUGAAAGGGUAAUGAACAGAGGUGUGCAUGAGUGUGGGAGUUUGAAAAGAGAAAACUGCAAUAAAAAAAGCAGAGUGCACAAAAGAAUGCAGAGUGUGUUUAUCCUCAAGCUCUGAGAGAGUGAGAGAGAGAGAGACAGAGAGAGAGAGAGAGAGAGAGAGAGAGAGAGAGAGAGAGAGAGAGAAUGACUUUAAGCCUUGAAGUUGCCUGUCAGUUUGUACCCAAAGAGUAGUCUGUGGGUAUGUAUUAUGCGCCUUCCAGAUAACCCUGUUUCCAGGU
rnacentral:lncRNA from 1 species